UACGGAGGAUCCAAGCGUUAUCCGGAAUCGUUGGGUUUAAAGGGUCCGUAGGCGGCCUUAUAAGUCAGUGGUGAAAUCUCCUAGCUCAACUAGGAAACUGCCAUUGAUACUGUAGGGCUUGAAUUAUUAGGAAGUAACUAGAAUAUGUAGUGUAGCGGUGAAAUGCUUAGAUAUUACAUGGAAUACCAAUUGCGAAGGCAGGUUACUACUAAUGGAUUGACGCUGAUGGACGAAAGCGUGGGGAGCGAACAGG
rnacentral:rRNA from 1 species